CCUACGGGAGGCAGCAGUGGGGAAUAUUGCACAAUGGGGGAAACCCUGAUGCAGCGACGCCGCGUGAGUGAAGAAGUAAUUCGUUAUGUAAAGCUCUAUCAGCAGGGAAGAAAAUGACGGUACCUGUGUAAGAAGCCCCGGCUAACAACGUGCCAGCAGCCGCGGUAAUACGGAGGGAGCAAGCGUUAUCCGGAUUUACUGGGUGUAAAGGGAGCGUAGAGGGCAGUGCAAGUCUGUAGUGAAAGGCGGGGGCUCAACCCCCGGACUGCUGUGGAAACUGUACGGCUGGAGUGCAGGAGAGGUAAGUGGAAUUCCUAGUGUAGCGGUGAAAUGCGUAGAUAUUAGGAGGAACACCAGUUGCGAAGGCGGCUUACUGGACUGUAACUGACGUUGAGGCUCGAAAGCGUGGGGAGCAAACAGGAUUAGAUACCCUGGUAGUC
rnacentral:rRNA from 1 species